rnacentral:ncRNA from 1 species
UGCUUUAAAAGGCAAAGCCACCGAGAGGUGGUGACGCAAAACCUCCGGUCCAACUGGGAUGCUAUAUAAAUUUCCAGCGGAUAGCGGGGCUGCAGGC